UGCAAAGUGAUGACAAAUGAUGAG
rnacentral:siRNA from 1 species